UACGGAGGGUCCAAGCGUUAUCCGGAAUCAUUGGGUUUAAAGGGUCCGUAGGCGGUUUUGUAAGUCAGUGGUGAAAGCCCAUCGCUCAACGGUGGAACGGCCAUUGAUACUGCAAGACUUGAAUUACUAGGAAGUAACUAGAAUAUGUAGUGUAGCGGUGAAAUGCUUAGAUAUUACAUGGAAUACCAAUUGCGAAGGCAGGUUACUACUAGUUGAUUGACGCUGAUGGACGAAAGCGUGGGGAGCGAACAGG
rnacentral:rRNA from 1 species